UAGUUGACCACAUUGAAGACUGAAAUGUUCUAUUUAUCCACAGAACAGAUACAGCCCGGGAAACGCCAAUGUAAUGUGCCAGUGUGCCUAAAUCCUGACCUGGAGGGACAGCCGUUGAGAAUGAGAGGUGAGCUGUGUCACAAAUCUGACUAUAAGAGUGAAAG
ensembl:misc_RNA